GAUGAAGAACGCAGCGAAAUGCGAUAAGUAAUGUGAAUUGCAGAAUUCAGUGAAUCAUCGAAUCUUUGAACGCACAUUGCGCCCCCUGGUAUUCCGGGGGGCAUGCCUGUUCGAGCGUCAUUUCUCCACUCAAGCCUCGCUUGGUAUUGGGCAACGCGGUCCGCCGCGUGCCUCAAAUCGACCGGCUGGGUCUUCUGUCCCCUAAGCGUUGUGGAAACUAUUCGCUAAAGGGUGUUCGGGAGGCUACGCCGUAAAACAACCCCAUUUCUAAGGUUGACCUCGGAUCAGGUAGGGAUACCCGCUGAACUUAAGCAUAUCAAUAAGCGGAGGA
rnacentral:misc_RNA from 1 species